GACGAACGCUGGCGGCGUGCUUAACACAUGCAAGUCGAACGGAAAGGCCCUGCUUUUGCGGGGUGCUCGAGUGGCGAACGGGUGAGUAACACGUGAGUAACCUGCCCUUGACUUUCGGAUAACUCCAGGAAACUGGGGCUCAUAUCGGAUAGGAGCUCCUGCUGCAUGGUGGGGGUUGGAAAGUUUCGGCGGUUGGGGAUGGACUCGCGGCUUAUCAGCUUGUUGGUGGGGUAGUGGCUUACCACGGCUUUGACGGGUAGCCGGCCUGAGAGGGUGACCGGCCACAUGGGGACUGAGGGACGCACCAGACUCCUACGGGAGGCAGCAGUGGGGAAUAUUGCACAGUGGGCGGAAGCCUGAUGCAGCAACGCCGCGUGCGGGAUGACGGCCUUCGGGUUGUAAACCGCUUUCGCCUGUGACGAAGCGUGAGUGACGGUAAUGGGUAAAGAAGCACCGGCUAACUACGUG
rnacentral:rRNA from 1 species